rnacentral:rRNA from 1 species
GAUCAACGCUGGCGGCGUGCUUAACACAUGCAAGUCGAACGAAGUUUUUCCUUCGGGAGAAACUUAGUGGCGGACGGGUGAGUAACGCGUGGGUAACCUGCCCUGUACAGGGGGACAACAGCUGGAAACGGCUGCUAAUACCGCAUAAGCACUUAGCACUGCAUGGUGCAUAGGGAAAAGGAGCAAUCCGGUACAGGAUGGACCCGCGUCUGAUUAGCCAGUUGGCAGGGUAACGGCCUACCAAAGCGACGAUCAGUAGCCGAUCUGAGAGGAUGUACGGCCACAUUGGGACUGAGACACGGCCCAGACUCCUACGGGAAGCAGCAGUGGGGAAUAUUGCACAAUGGAGGAAACUCUGAUGCAGCGACGCCGCGUGAGUGAAGAAGUAUUUCGGUAUGUAAAGCUCUAUCAGCAGGGAAGAAAAUGACGGUACCUGACUAAGAAGCACCGGCUAAAUACGUG